UUUCCGUAGGUGAACCUGCGGAAGGAUCAUUAAAGAGAUCAUGCCCUCACGGGUAGACCUCCCACCCUUUGUUUACAAUACCUUUGUUGCUUUGGCGGGCCCGUUUGGCCCCGCGCUGAACAACCGGCCCCGGCUGGUCAGUGCCCGCCAGAGAACCGAAAACUCUGAAUUAAAUGUCGUCUGAGUACUAUGUAAUAGUUAAAACUUUCAACAACGGAUCUCUUGGUUCUGGCAUCGAUGAAGAACGCAGC
rnacentral:misc_RNA from 1 species